rnacentral:rRNA from 1 species
UGCAGCGACGCCGACGUGAGGGAUGACAGGCCUUCGGGUUGUAAACCUCUUUCAGUAGGGAAGAAGCGAAAGUGACGGUACCUGCAGAAGAAGCGCCGGCUAACUACGUGCCAGCAGCCGCGGUAAUACGUAGGGCGCAAGCGUUAUCCGGAAUUAUUGGGCGUAAAGAGCUCGUAGGCGGUUUGUCGCGUCUGCCGUGAAAGUCCGGGGCUCAACUCCGGAUCUGCGGUGGGUACGGGCAGACUAGAGUGAUGUAGGGGAGACUGGAAUUCCUGGUGUAGCGGUGAAAUGCGCAGAUAUCAGGAGGAACACCGAUGGCGAAGGCAGGUCUCUGGGCAUUAACUGACGCUGAGGAGCGAAAGCAUGGGGAGCGAACAGGAUUAGAUACCCUGGUAGUCCAUGCCGUAAACGUUGGGCACUAGGUGUGGGGGACAUUCCACGUUUUCCGCGCCGUAGCUAACGCAUUAAGUGCCCCGCCUGGGGAGUACGGCCGCAAGGCUAAAACUCAAAGGAAUUGACGGGGGCCCGCACAAGCGGCGGAGCAUGCGGAUUAAUUCGAUGCAACGCGAAGAACCUUACCAAGGCUUGACAUGGACCGGACCGCCGCAGAAAUGUGGUUUCCCCUUUGGGGCCGGUUCACAGGUGGUGCAUGGUUGUCGUCAGCUCGUGUCGUGAGAUGUUGGGUUAAGUCCCGCAACGAGCGCAACCCUCGUUCCAUGUUGCCAGCGCGUAAUGGCGGG